ACCCUACGAUUCUCGGCUAAUUCCGAGACCAGAGAAGCAGGCCACGUCGCCAGCUUUUCUCGGUCGUCGGAUCGGCCGAACGAACGGCCAGGAUCUUGUGUUUUGUGGUCAUUUUGCAUAAAAGUCCUCGAACUUCUCCGAAAUACAAUCCGCAGUCCACUCUCCUCUCUCAGAAUAUUUUUUGAAUAAGCUCCUAAAGUUUUUAGAAAUCAACCUGCAGUCCACCACACCUUCCGCCGGACACCAAGCGCUGUACCUUCGUGGUCCCGCUCGGACCGCCGCCGCCGCCGCCGCACUACGCCCCCGCUCGGGGCUGCCGCCGCCCCGACCGCCACCGCGCGCCGUCGGUCCGCCUCGUGGUCUCGCAUCCCCAGCCAGCAAGGGCGCCAUGGCCAUCGGCCAGCCGGCCAGGCCACGCAGUGCUAGCCAGCGCGGCGCUGCGCUGCUCCCAGCGGCCGUGGGGUCAGGCCAAGUGGAGGCGCGACGCUGGGCGGCGCCGCUGAGGGACGCCUAGCGGCUCGGCGCAGCAGCGACCGGCAGGCCGAGCGCCGGGCCAGAUCGGCAAGAGGCGACGAAUAUAGGGGGCGCGACCAGUGGAGCCACAGCUCUUCGACGGAGGCCAUAGGUUCUGCUCCAGAUACUCCACGGCACCCCAUCCUGCGCCCAGCUCCUGUCCAUCGCCAAGAUACUGAGAACAGCAAUGGUGGCCGGUGGUACAGUCAAUCGGCGUCCUCCUGCAGGUGUACAGCUCAAUCAAAGUUCUGUGCAAAAAAGUAAGAGGAACAAGCAAUCUGAAUUACAUUCUCACGUAACCAUAAACCAUUCAAGAUCACUCCAAGUUCUGUGGAAAAAAAGAAAUCCUUCCAGGAACUCUUUGUAAGAAGAAUGGUGAUAGAGAGUUGUGGGAAUAUCCCUUUGCUGUACCUGGUGUAAAUAUUACAUUCAUGCUAAUUCAGAUGCUUGAUCUUCAAGCAGCUAAGCCAAAGUCAUUGAUUGGAGCAGUGUUCCUAAAUCUACUUAAAGGUAUGUCAUUCUUUUACUGUUACAUUUGUAUAGGGAUGAAAUCUUACAGGGCUGAUGUAGUUUAGGCUUUUAUCCCGAAAGGCCUUUCAGGCUGACAGUCUGACUGAAUCGAAUAGUUGGUGGUUGUCAACAUAGCUAUAUUCUUACAAAUUUGGAGGAAUUCAGUGAGCCCAACUGACUUGCAUGUUUUCUUAGAAACGCACUGCAGCUAGCUAGGGCCAGUUAAUUAUUUUGCAAUUACUUUCAUUAAGGGUACAGAAAUCCAUACAGCAUUAUAGGCGUAAUGUUUAACACCUGUGUGAGGCCCUCUAGAGAUAUACAUAUAUUAUUAGCUUUUAAUAGAAGCUGGGUAAGAGCAAUCAUGUUUUCACAAUUACCUCCAGGUAGGACCAUCUGACCUUUUUUUCCAGAAAAUGAUCGAGCAUUUGACAUUUUUUUACUGCAUAACUUUCAUAUUAUAAAUGAUCAGAAAUGGCUGGACAUGCACGCCAGUUACAUGGAUUUACUAUAAUAGAUGCUUUGCAAUUUACACAAUGUCAAAUUAUUUCUGAACCGCCCCAAACCAAAAAAUUAGUUAUACUUGUGGUCAAAACAAGACAGCAAGUUAACACUCUUAGGUACAUAUAAUAUCAUGGUAUCAGGCAAAUUCUCCAUGGAUGGCAACAAGGAAGACACAGGCAAGUGCCUGCAUAUAGGCAAGGAAGGGGUUGGCGUCCACACUUGUGAGCAUUAUCCAUAUGGUGCCAAGUGUUCUUCUGUAAUAACUAAAUCAAAAGGCUUCUUUAAACUACUGUCAGCUGUGUAUUGUUUGCUUCUAAUUGUCAUGUAUUCUCAUGCAUACCAUUUGAUUA